UACGUAGGGGGCUAGCGUUGUCCGGAAUCAUUGGGCGUAAAGAGCGUGUAGGCGGCCCGGUAGGUGGGUUGUGAAAACUGGAGGCUCAACCUUCAGACGUCGACCCAAACCCCCUGGCUAGAGUCCGGAAGAGGAGAGUGGAAUUCCUGGUGUAGCAGUGAAAUGCGUAGAGAUGUGGAGGAACACCGAUGGCGAAGGCAGCCCCCUGGGCUAACACUGACGCUCAGGCACGAAAGCGUGGGGAGCAAACAGG
rnacentral:rRNA from 1 species